UUAGCUGUAAACGAUGUGAACUUAGUGUCGGUGGGGUUAAAUCCAUCGGUACUGAAGCAAACGCGAUAAGUUCACCGCCUGGGGACUACGGCCGCAAGGUUAAAACUCAAAGGAAUUGACGGGGCCCCGCACAAGCAGCGGAGCGUGUGGUUUAAUUCGAUGUUACACGAAGAACCUUACCAAGGUUUGACAUGCAAGUGGUAGGAAGCCGAAAGGCCUACGACCCUUCGGGGAGCUUGCACAGGUGC
rnacentral:rRNA from 1 species